CCUACGGGGGGCAGCAGUGGGGAAUAUUGGACAAUGGGGGCAACCCUGAUCCAGCCAUGCCGCGUGUGUGAAGAAGGCCCUCGGGUUGCAAAGCACUUUCAGUGAGGAAGAACGCCUGGUGGUUAAUACCCAUCAGGAAAGACAUCACUCACAGAAGAAGCACCGGCUAACUCCGUGCCAGCAGCCGCGGUAAUACGGAGGGUGCGAGCGUUAAUCGGAAUUACUGGGCGUAAAGCGCGCGUAGGUGGCUUGAUAAGCCGGUUGUGAAAGCCCCGGGCUCAACCUGGGAACGGCAUCCGGAACUGUCAAGCUAGAGUGCAGGAGAGGAAGGUAGAAUUCCCGGUGUAGCGGUGAAAUGCGUAGAGAUCGGGAGGAAUACCAGUGGCGAAGGCGGCCUUCUGGACUGACACUGACACUGAGGUGCGAAAGCGUGGGUAGCAAACAGGAUUAGAUACCCUAGUAGUC
rnacentral:rRNA from 1 species